UACAGAGGGUGCGAGCGUUGUUCGGAAUUAUUGGGCGUAAAGCGCUUGUAGGCGGCUUGUUAAGUUCCGUGUGAAAUCCCCAGGCUUAACCUGGGAAGUGCGCGGAAAACUGGCGAGCUUGAGUGCCGGAGAGGGUCGCGGAAUUCCCGGUGUAGAGGUGAAAUUCGUAGAUAUCGGGAGGAACACCAGUGGCGAAGGCGGCGACCUGGACGGACACGUGA
rnacentral:rRNA from 1 species